rnacentral:misc_RNA from 1 species
CAUUCUCAUUCGGUCUCUUGAAGGAAUCGCACGUAUUCUGAAUACGCGGAAAGCAAAGCAAUCACAAUCCAAAUCGAAGUGGCAGUGCUGAAAGCAAGUGGUAGAUUGAAAAAGUGAAAAACUCUCAAGUUCUUGGUUUUGUGGAAAGCGCAAAAUUCGGAAAAACUGUGCAAAGUGGAGCGGUGUAUCAGCGAUUAAAACCCAGCAACAAUAAACAAUAAACUGUAUCAAGUGUGCUAAUUAUAGCUGAAAAAAGUACUGUUAUUCUGUUAACUGUGUAACUGUAAACGGUGUGAACACGCAAAUCGAGCCAGAAACCAUAAAACCAUAAAAAUCUAUAUACCAGAAACCGAGUGAAAAUCAAAUUAGAUCGCGAGAGACUUUCAACGUAUAAUGGCACCAACAACCACUGACAAUUGCGAAUUUGAAUGUGCAACUGUUGAAGCAACAACAACAACAACAUCGAUUAGCGGCAAUUUCGAUUUUGAAAAUUCGGAAGCCAACACCGGCAGUGGCAACGGCAACGGCAGCAACUUUGAAGAAUCGAAUGAAUUGCAUUUGAGCGGCCAGCAUCAGGAUCAUCAGGAUCAGGAUGUCCAGCAGGAUGUGGAGCAGCAAAAGCAGAUGCCAUGGGAGGCACCUGGCAAACAGGGACUCUACGAUCCCCAGAACGAGCACGAGGCCUGCGGUGUCGGUUUCAUCGUGGCCAUCGAUGGAAAGCGCUCUCACAAGAUUCUACGUGAUGCCCAGACCCUCUCAGAACGGAUGAAUCAUCGCGGUGCCUGUGCCUGCGACAAUGACACUGGUGAUGGUGCUGGCGUUUUGGCUUCCAUUCCUCACGGACUCUAUGCCAAGGCCCUAGCCAAGCAGGGUGUAACCUUGCCGGAAUUGGGUGACUAUGCCACAGGCAUCUUCUACCUGGAUGAGGCGCAGCACGCCGCCGCCGAGAAGGAGUUCGAUGCUCUGGCCAAGAGCCUGGGUCUCGAGGUGAUCGCCUGGCGCACGGUUCCGGCCAACCAGGCGGCCAUCGGCGUGGUGGCCCGCAAAUCGGAGCCCCUGUCCCGUCAGGUGUUCGUCCGUCGACCGGCCGGAAGCGACGAGAAGUCCUUCGAACGGCAGGUGUUCGUCCUGCGGAAGAGGGCCAGCCACGAGCUGACCAAGCCGGGCAGACGCUUCUACAUCUGCUCGAUGUCCGACCGUACCGUGGUGUACAAGGGUCUGUUCACCUCGGACCAGUUGUGGGAGUAUUAUACGGACCUCAAGGAUCCGGAGUUUGAGACGUACUUGGCCCUGGUCCAUACGCGCUUCUCCACCAACACCUUCCCCAGCUGGGAGCGCGCCCAUCCCCUGCGUGUCCUCGCCCACAACGGCGAGAUCAACACCCUCCGGGGCAACGUGAACCUGAUGAAGGCCCGCGAGGGUGUGAUGCAGUCGGACCUGUUCGGGGAUCAGCUGAAGAAGCUCUAUCCCGUGGUGGAGCCGAAUCUCUCCGACUCGGGCAGCUUCGACUGUGUCCUGGAGUUCAUCACCAUGGCCAGCGAGAGGUCGCUGCCGGAAUCGGUGAUGACCAUGGUGCCGGAGGCGUGGCAGAACGACAAGACCAUGCCGCAGGAGAAGCGCGACUUCUACCAGUGGGCCGCCUGUGUGAUGGAGCCCUGGGACGGACCGGCCCUGAUCAGCUUCACCGACGGCCGCUACAUCGGAGCCGUGCUGGACCGGAACGGCCUGCGUCCGUCGCGCUUCUACGUGACCAAGGAGAAUGUGCUGGUCAUGGCCUCCGAGGUGGGAGUCUACGACGUAGAUCCCUCGCAGGUGACACUCAAGAGCCGCUUGAAGCCCGGCCGGAUGCUGCUGGUGGACACCAAGGAGCAGAAGCUCAUCCAGGACAUUGAGCUGAAGUCGCAGAUUGCCAAGUCGAGGCCCCAUUCCGAGUGGCUGCAGCAGAAGAUGAUCACUCUGGACGAGAUUCGCAAUGCGAAUGUCCUGAACACUGCUCCCGUGGAUGAGUUGGCCAAGUUGCCCGCCUCCCAGAGGGGCAUCUUCGAUCCAAGGCUCUCGCUCUUCGGCUACACCACGGAAACGGUCAAUAUGCUCCUCAUUCCGAUGUUCAAGAACAAGAAGGAAGCCCUGGGCUCCAUGGGCAACGAUGCUCCACUGGCCUGUCUGUCCACCUUCCAGCCGAUCCCGUACGAGUAUUUCAAGCAACUGUUCGCCCAGGUGACCAAUCCGCCCAUCGAUCCAUUCCGCGAGAAGGUGGUCAUGUCGAUGCAGUGCCCCAUCGGACCGGAGGCCAAUCUCCUCCAGCCGUCGGCGCAGCAGGUGCACCGCAUUUGGCUGCCCAAUCCCAUACUGAGCAUUCCAGACACCCAGCUGCUCAAGCGGAACACGCACCGCGGCUGGCGUACCAAAGUCCUGGACAUCACAUUCCAGUACAACGAGGGCGUCCAGGGCUACCUGGACUGCAUCGAUCGUGUGUGCCGCGAAGGUGCUGCCGCCGCCCAAGCCGGCUACCAACUCCUGGUGGUCUCCGAUCGUGGGGCCGGAGUCGGUGGCAAGGUGGCUGUUUCUGCCUUGCUUGCCCUGGGUGCACUGCAUCAUCACUUGAUUGAGACGCUGCAGCGCAUGAAGGUGGGCAUUGUGGUGGAGACGGCCGAGGCCCGAGAGGUUCAUCAUAUUUGCGUGCUCCUCGGCUACGGAGCGGACGCCAUUUGUCCGUAUUUGGCCUUCGAACUGGCCCAGGCCCUGCGGGACGACGGCGUCAUUGGUCCGGAAGUGAACGACAAGCAGAUCUACGCCGCCUACGCCCAGGCCAUUGAUACGGGCAUUGCCAAGGUGAUGGCCAAAAUGGGCAUUAGUACCCUGCAGUCCUACAAGAGCGCCCAGAUCUUCGAGGCCGUCGGCUUGGGCAGCGAACUGGUCGCCAAGUGCUUCCGCGGCACCCAGAGUCGCAUCGGCGGCGUUACCCUGGAGAUCCUGGCCAAGGAGGGCCUCGAAAGGUAUCAGCUGACCUAUGGAAAGAGCUCACCUGACACGCGCAUCCUCCGAAACCCUGGACAGUACCACUGGCGUCACGGUGGUGAGGCUCACAUCAAUGAGCCCUCCUCCAUUGGCAGUCUGCAGGAAGCGGCGGUCAACAAGAACCUCGAUGCCUUCGAGGCCUUCAAAAAGACCACCCUGGACAGCGUGAAGAAGUGCGCCCUGCGUGGCCAGUUGGAGUUCGUCACUGACCGCCAAAAGAUUGAUAUUUCCGAGGUGGAGCCGGCCAGCGAGAUUGUCAAGCGAUUCGCCACUGGAGCCAUGAGCUUUGGCAGCAUCUCUCUGGAGGCCCAUCAGACUCUUUCCAUUACCAUGAACCGUAUUGGCGGCAAGAGCAACACCGGAGAAGGUGGCGAGGAUUCCGAUCGUUAUUUGAAUCAGGAUCCCAACAACAGCCGUCGCUCGGCCAUCAAGCAGGUGGCUUCCGGUCGCUUUGGUGUCACGGCCUCCUACCUGGCCAACGCCGAUGAUCUGCAGAUCAAGAUGGCCCAGGGAGCCAAGCCCGGAGAGGGCGGCGAGCUGCCCGGCUACAAGGUCACCAAGGACAUUGCCAAGACCCGUAAAUCGGUGCCGGGAGUGGGCCUGAUUUCGCCACCACCUCAUCACGAUAUCUACUCGAUCGAGGACUUGGCUGAGCUGAUCUACGAUCUGAAGUGCUCGAAUCCCAAUGCCCGGAUCAGUGUGAAGCUGGUGUCCGAAGUGGGUGUGGGUGUUGUGGCUUCCGGAGUGGCCAAAGGCAAAGCCGAACACAUUGUCAUUUCGGGACAUGAUGGCGGCACUGGAGCCAGCUCAUGGACUGGCAUCAAGAACGCCGGAUUACCCUGGGAACUGGGUGUGGCCGAAACCCAUCAGGUGCUGGUCCUGAACAAUCUCCGAUCACGAUGACAGCGUUGGAAAACCUGUUCAGAACAUGUAUUCCCCAAAUAAGCAGAUAUCGAUCCUAGAGAUUGAUCAUCGGAAAGUUGGGCUGAUCCCCCAAAACACAACCCCAUUGAAACUCCUCGAUACAUGUGGCCAGUGGGCAGUGGGCAGGAGGACAUUGACAAGGCGGACGAGGAGGGCGAGCAAGGAAUCGCAAUAGAUCCUCCAUAGAGCACUCAGAACUCAAAACUGAUCCUUGAAAGUGGAGGAAACUGAUCCGUUUGACAGAAAACCACCAAGAUGGAGACCAAUUGUGGACUGAAUCCAAUGAGUAUUGCCCACAAAAGUGGACAGAAACUGCUCAUCCUGAAAGUGAUCUAGAGAUCCCGAUCUGAUGCACUGAUUUCCACUGCCAGUCGCUCCGGUCCACUCGCUCUACUCCACUCCACUCAACUCCACUCCACUCACUCGCUCACUCGAUCACGAUCCACGUCGCGCUGUGCUCCAUUCAGUGAUUGUCCAAGCCGAUGGCCAGCUGCGUACAGGAUUCGAUGUGGUGGUCGCUGCUCUUCUGGGUGCCGAUGAGUUUGGCUUCAGUACAG